UACAGAGGGGGCAAGCGUUAUUCGGAAUUAUUGGGCGUAAAGGGCGCGUAGGCGGCUUUGCAAGUGACGGGUGAAAUCCCUCGGCUUAACCGAGGAACUGCCUGUCAGACUGCAUGGCUUGAGACCAGGAGAGGUGAGUGGAAUUCCCAGUGUAGCGGUGAAAUGCGUAGAUAUUGGGAGGAACACCAGUGGCGAAGGCGGCUCACUGGACUGGUACUGACGCUGAUGCGCGAAAGCGUGGGGAGCAAACAGG
rnacentral:rRNA from 1 species